GCCUUCAAGGCCACAGGACAGUACCCGGGGACUGCAGGUCUGACCCCGGGCCCUGACCGGCUCCUGGUCUUCUGGCCUCCUGGUUAUACCAUCGACCCAUUCUAGGUCUACAUUUGAUCCAAGGGGAAAGAAAACAGACCAGGCAUCCCUGGCUAUCUAUGAAGGACGGCUGCCGCACAAACACAGUGGUGUUCAGAACCAAGAGCAAGAAUCCACUUCACUCAAAGUCCUUGUGUGCCUGUUGUGUGCCAGUGACGUGAGAGGUGCUAGGAGGCCCGUUUUGUAGUAUGGGAAUCUUGGCCUUAAUGACACAAUAACUCCACUCCAGCCCAUGUUCUACUGGUCCACCUAGAAGGGAUGCUGAAGGAGCAGUGGGUAGGCAGGGCCUACUGGGUGCUGGGUGCUGCUCACACCUGGCAGUGCUCCUAAUUGGUGGUAUUCCCCAUGCUCCACAGGCCCUAGGGCUCCCCAAGGAGCACCUCAAGUGGAAGCCCCCUGAACCUUCAUGCCAUACUCCCCCCCAAAUAGCCCCUGGGCCCACUGCGACUCCCACUCUAAGAACAACAAAGUUCCUCGUUCCCCAGCCGCAUCUUAGAACAUGCCUUCCACUCCCCUCCUGCCUCACCGGGAACCUGUCUCCCGCACACGUUCUGCGGGAAGAAGUCUCUUCCCAGACGACAUCACCAGGAAGUACCCAUCCCUGUAACUCCCGGACAGGGUCUCCUCUCAAAAGGAGGAAGAGCUGAUCUCCACCAGGCCUCCCACCCACAGAAGUUGCUGAAGGGCUGGAAGCCACACUUGAGAACAGCAUCCCAGUCUCAGUCCACCCAGACUGGCCUUUUGACUUGCUUUGACCAACAGAAUGUGCUGGAAGUACUCAUGUACCAGGUCUAAGCCUCGACCUCAAGAGUUCUUGCAGCCUCUGCUCUUGCUGCUCUGGGAACCCUCUCCCACCACGUGAACGAUCUCAGGCUGCCUGCUGGAGGGCUGGGGACCAUCCGGAGUAGAAGUGAGUCCAUCACACCAAUCAGCCCAUGGCCAACUUGGCAACUUCUUGCUGCCACUUAAAUCAUCCUGGCCAUGACCAGAAGAGCCACCCAGCUGAACCCAACCAAACUGCCCAGCCAUGGAAUCAGGAACUCGAUAAAUAUUGGUUGUUUUAAGAUACUAAGUUCUGGGGUGCUUGCUAUGCAGCAAAAGCUAACUGAUACACUAUAAGAAGUCUAGAUUGUAAUUGCUAAACCUGUUUACAUCAAGGUUGGCUCAGGCCACCAGGUGGACUUAGUCAAUCUCAGGGAAUCCUGCUGUCUUCCUUAUUAAGUUCUAAGUUAGGGAGACUCUCUUAGUGACAGCCAAGAGACCUGGAGGGAUCCUUGGGGAGUCCAACCACCUCAUUCUACUGUUAGGGAUACUGAAGUCCACCGAAGAGAAGGAGUCACACUCACUCACCACACAAAUAUUUCCUGAGCGCCUUCUAUGCACAGGCUUUGUGUCACACUGGGGGACACAACAUGAAGAAGAUAGACCAGAGCCUGCCCUCAUGGAGGUUACAGUCCAGGGUGGAAAUCAGAUGUUAACCAAGUCAUCACACAGAUAAACAGACAACCACAAAUAGGGACAAACACCCUGAAUUAAAGGACAUGGUGCCAUGAGAGAGAAUCACGGGGAGGGGACCUAAUUUGCAUUUGGGGGUCACCAAGAGCUCUCUGAGGAAAUGACAUUUGGGCUGGAGCGAGGCGGUGGCAGCCUUGAGGUGGGAACAGAGCUCUCCACAAACAGCAAGGUAACAGGUAGAGCCCUGAGUCCCAGCUGUGCAGGUUCAAAUCCCAGCUGUACUCCUUCCUGGUUGCCAAUCAACCACCUUGAGCUUCAGUUGCCUCAUCUACAAAAUGGGGUUAGCAAUAACGUCUACUACUUCUCCAGACUGUUGUGAAGAUCAGCCGAAAUAAUCACUGAGAAAAGGGCUUUGCAAACUGUAGAGUGUAGGGUGAACAGUUGAGGUUGUUGUUAACAACUUGGGGGGGACAUUUAUUUGCCCUGCACCUCCUCUCCAAAGGACUGUGCACCCCUCUGCCCAAGCCCUAGAGCAGACCUGGAGUGCCACUGAGCGCCCCUUACCUUUCUUGGCGGAAACGCAGAGCCAACACUCUCCAUCAGGGUUUGAACCAGCACCUACUCCACUAUAGUAUGGUUCUGAGAGCCCAAGCUCAGAAUGUUAACAAAAUGCAACUUAAACAUCACUAAAGGGCUCAGAGGAGAUGUUCAGGGGUAAGCUCUGGUCUUUUGAGACAACCACAUUUCCAAGCUAAUUAUGGAAAAUUAAAUAACUUCAGUGGACUCUUCCAAAAUGAGCAUUUCCAAGACCUGGAGUCUUGCCCACCAGCUUCUUGCAGGUUGGCACUUCUGGAUGCACUAUAAAGGCAGCUUUGCAGCAGCAGCACGUUGCUCACAAGGCCAUAGGCCAGAGAAGGGGCCUGGCGUGGCAGCCCCAGCAUGAGCACCCCCGCAGAGGCAGGGGAGGGGAUGUAGCAUCUGCAGUGGGGCUGCCACACUGCAGUGGGACCACAGUAUCUCCCCUCACUGGUGGUGCUCCCUAAGGGCCACAGGCCCAGGUCCUAUUCACCAUGUCCCCCACAAGACCUGUCACAUAGUAGGACACAUAAAUGUUUGUGAAUUAACAGGCCUCUGUUUCACCAGCUGGAAAAUGUGGGCCCAGUCACCCAACUUGGACUGCCACAACCACCACGACUGCAUAGACAGAGGUGUCCCUGGAGCUGACCUCCAGCUCCCCAAGUUUCUCAGCAGCUAUGAAACUCCUUGGUUCUCCAUCCAGCACCCUGGGCUUCUGCCACCCUGCAGGCACCACUGCCUAGGGAACCAUCCUCCAGGAUGCCACAAUCUGCAGUGAGGACCCUCUCUGGCAUUACAGUCUAUAGUGGGGAUGCUCCCAGCUGAGACAAACCUUCAUUUUCAGAGACCAGGCUCUCAGUGGGAAAUCAGAUUCCAGCUGGCAUCUGGGGCUCCCAGAGGGCUGGGCUGGGGCUGGGGCCAGCCUUACUCAGGGAUGACUUAGGCCCGUUUGCCCCCAGGGAGGACCGCACAGGAAGCCUCUGCUCUCCCCUCUCCGUGCCAUGUCCACAUCCCUCCCCAGUGACAUCAGACAACUCCAGGUGGGCGGGAGAACCCUGCACACCUUUGUGUGGAUGUGCUCACCUCCACACCAAUGUAUGUCCCAUGGGUGCUGUGUAACAGCAAGAGGCAGUCAGCACCAGGGAGCACGUGACAUUUCUGCUCAAUGCUGCUGAAAGUUUCCCCUCUGUGCAUGGGGAAUGUGGGCAACACAUUCUGAGGUUUAUCAAGUUGUCAAUGAUGUCCAUUUGAAGCCAACAGCCAGGUACAUAAUUUACAGAAAACACUGUAGUCCCAGUUUGAUUGUUCCUUUUAAGGGGACUCCACUGACAUUCUUGAUCAU